rnacentral:miRNA from 1 species
GAGGUGGGAGGAUCACUUGAGCCCAGGAGGUUGAGGCUGCAGUGAGCUGUUAUCAUGCCAUUGCACUCCAGCCUGAGUGACAGAGCAAGACUGUGUCU